GGGGAGGGCUGGCAGCCUUAGGCCUGGGGGGCAAAACCAGUCAAGUGGCCCAUUGCACCUCCAAAUCAGUUCACCAUCCAUGCCCACCUUUUCCUGGUUUUAUAAAGGAUAUUGAUGUUAUGCUAAUCAGUAGCUCUUUGCCAUACCCGCUCCUUCACGGCUCCAGGCACUGCUUGUUGUGAGUGUGAGUGUAAAUUAGGGGCAGAGGGCACUUGCACUGCGGUAAAGAUGGG